AAUAAAAUGGCUGAGUUAAAGCUGUAAACUGUAAAUUUACCCAUGGGUUUCCCUUUUAUUA
rnacentral:tRNA from 1 species